AGUAUUUUGCCUUCCUCUAAUCAAAAUAGAACAUCACAAGGGUUUCAAUCUCUCUCCCUCUCUAAUGAUGAUGAAGGCCGAAUCAAUUGAUAGGUUACCAGAUCAUCUCAUCUCUUCUCUUCGGUUGUAUAUUUGAAAUCAAAGGUAUCUAUCGUCGUCUCAUGCUUCUAUUCUCUUCUUGGUUGUGUAUCUAAAAUCCCUAAUUCAUUCUCACUCCCAGCCCAGUCCUGCCCUAGUCUGUUUUGCUUCUCUCUCUCUUUCAACGGCCGUAACACCGUGUGCAGUACCCCCAUAUUCGAAGCAAAAAAAAAAAAAAAAAAAAUCAAAAUACACAACUACUUGGGUUCUAAUGACUUCUAAUCAUAAAGGAACAUAGAAAUGGUGAAGAGAGACAGUUCGAAAAGAGAUGGUUCGAAGUCAAGAAGAGAGAACUGUUUGGGUUCUAAUGACUUCUAAUCAUAAAGGAACAUAGAAAUGGCGAAGAAAAGAGGCGGUUCAAAGUCAACAAGAGAGGGAGAAGAGAGAGAGGGUUCGAAGACGAAUUUUGGGCAUUUUGAUCUGGAAGGGCUUCAAUCUCUUUUUGGAGACUUCAACCUGGUUCGGCGUCGACAACAAUCAAUACAAUCUCUUCUUUUCUUUUCUUUUCUUUUCUCUUCUCUUCUCUUUGCGUUUCGUUGCUUUUGGUUCAAUUUUGGUUGGUUGUCUUCGACCUGAUUCUACAAUCCUCCAGUCUUCGACCCCUUUUCCAUAACCAAAAAACAAAAACCCACUUCAUCUCCGUCGAUUUCAAGCAUACCCAUUUCAAAAAAAUGUUUUCAAAAUCGUCAAAUCAGAUAUCCAUCUCUUGUCUUCCUCUGUUCUGCUUUUGGACAUUGAAAAGAUCAAUCUUUUCUUCAUUUUGUUUUCAAAAUUAUUGAAUCAGCUAUAAAUCUCUGGUUCUGGACAUUAAAAAGGAUCAAUGUUUUGAUUUCGUUUUAUGUGAUUUUGAACUCAAAUUUGUGUAAAUUGAGUUAAAUUUUUGUUGAUUGAACACAGAACAACUUGCUCUCUGGAGUUUCGAGAAGUUUAUCUCAUUACCUGGAGUUCCUAAACUUCUAACAAGCCCGAGUUAGAGAAUUGAAGAAGACUGAUCAUGUUAAUCAUACCGUAACAGUGCUGCUAGUUGGGAUUCCCAAAGUUGGCAAGUCAGCCCUGGCUAACUCCUUGCAUUAUAUUGGGCAGAUUAGUGCUACAGAGAAAGGAAAGUUGAAACAUGCAACAGUGAGUCCACUGCCAGGGGAGACAAAAGAUAUCAGCAGCUUGAAGCUUCCUUUAUCUGUAUGUGUUUAUCAUGUAAUAGUUGAGGUUUUGCCUCCAGAGAUUCCUGAUGCUGAGGUGCGUUCGAAACUUGCUUUAACAGGAGCUGUUAAUGACUAUUUAAUUGGGGAAGCAGAACUAGCUCAAUAUUUUUUGGCUAUCCUCAACUUGAGUGAUGAAUACAACCAAUGGUCAAAAUUGUCUACCACUGCGAGUGAAAAAUUAUCAGAUGACAAAGUUGAAACUUCAGUUAACUCGAAGUUGGACAAAAGAUGAAAGCAGUAUGCCACAGAUCACACACAGUUGAGAUUGGAUUUGUACACAGCUGAGAAUCGAAACUAAACUUUGUUUGUUUAUUUCAUACUAUGGUUUGCGAAAUUGAGAGCAAAAAGAUAGGGUUUCUAGUCAUGUAUUACUUAAGGUAAUUGCAAAUGCUUGCAAAGUUCUAACAACAUUUGUUUCAGAAUUGACUGAAUUUGAAGAUACUGACGAAUGUGUAAAGCACUUUGAUGAAGAUCAAGAAUUAGAGCAGCUUAUAAGUGGGGAAAUAUGUUUUAUGGUUUAUCCCUUUUCAAGUGGUAUGGUUUAACCCUUGGGUUGGAUUUACCUUCAAGUGACUCUUCAUCUUUUGUUUAUUCUUCUUUAUGAAGAAUAUGUUUUGCAGAGACAUAUACUUCUGAUACAGAAAGGAAUAUAAUUUUAUCUGGUUCAUUUAAUCCUUUAGAUGAAGGUCACCUAAAGCUUCUUGAAGUUGCUACUAGGUGCAUCAAUCUCUUUGUUGACACAUGAUUUUGAAAUACUUGGCUUACUUUUAUACAUUUUUGGUGAAUCACAUAUUUAUUCUUGA